rnacentral:rRNA from 1 species
GGUUAAGCGACUAAGCGUACACGGUGGAUGCCCUGGCAGUCAGAGGCGAUGAAGGGCGUGCUAAUCUGCGAUAAGCGCCGGUAAGGUGAUAUGAACCGUUAUAACCGGCGAUACCCGAAUGGGGAAACCCAGUGUGAUUCGUCACUCUAUCAUUAACUCAAUCCAUAGGUUAAUGAGGCGAACCGGGGGAACUGAAACAUAUAAGUAACCCGAUGAAAAGAAAUAAACCUAGAUUCCCCCAGUAUCGGCGAGCGAACGGGGAGGAGACAAGAGCCUGAAUCAGCAUGAGUGUUAGUGGUAGCGUCUGGAAAGGCUCGCGAUACAGGGUGACAGC